CUCACCUUCUUGCUUCUUCCAACUCUGUCUGAAUCUGAAGAAAAGGGUCAGAGGCUCAGAGCAUGAUUAAGCAAGGAGAGAGAAACCUAGAGAGAGAAAAAUGCAGUACCUCGCUCAAGACCAUCGAUCAUCGCUUUCGACGAUGGGGCUUUGAUUCUUCUCAGCGUCUGAGGUUGUGGAAGAUGACUUUCCGAUCGUCACAUUUAUCAGGUUAAAAUCGCACUACGACGCUUUGUGAAUUCCGUCACCGACACCAACCUUCAACCGUCACCUCCAUUACAACCACCGUCACAAGUGAUUGAAAUUACCUAUUUAAUUCAUAAUUGAUGAUAACUGAAUGAUGAGCAUCUCGUAUACUUGUAUAAUACUUGUAUUUUCUAUGAUCUUGACCACUUGCAAAAGUUACAAAUCUUACAAUAUGAUUAUAUAAGGUACAAUUCUCUCUCUCCUUUCUCUUCUGAGCUUUCUCCAACCCUCCACUGAAGCAAAUCCUGGACUUGCUUUUAAUCCAUUGAAGAAGCUUGAGAGGUUAUUUGAUGAUUCUCUGAUAUCCAGAAAUGGGUGAGGAGGCUACUAAAGUUGUUAUACCGGAGUCAGUUUUGAAAAAGCAGAAGAGGGAGGAAGAAUGGACUUUGGCCAAGGAGGAGGAUCAGGAUGUUCAGAAGAAGAAGAGAGUUGAAAUCAGGAAGCUGAUCACUAACUACAGUAGUAAAUUUGUUCACAUUAAUUAAUUACACGGAAUUCAGCAAGAAAGUGCAUCAGGAAUAAUAAUUUAAUUAAGAUUAUUUAUUAGCCGAAAGUAUGUUGAAUUGUUGAUCCCACUAGCAACAACCAUAUAUUCUUUCAUGAUUCAAACCUUCUAUUCAUAACUUCUUUGUAUUAAAAGGAGCAAUUAAAUCAUAAAAAUGUCUUAAUAGAAUAAUAUUUUGUCUUAAAAAAUUACUGUAUUAAUAAACUUGGUAAAAGUCAGCUCUCUGAUUUGAUUCUUCUUUUUCCCUAAUACAAUCGUAAUUAAUUAUGCUAUGUCAAUUGUUCUAGAAAUUACAUGUCUUUUAAAUGUUUAACAAUACUUAUCUUUCUAAUAAAUUAAUCAUAUACUACCACCGUUACCUAUUAUGUGCAACAAAGGGGUAUUAUUUGUGGUGUCUGUUCUUGGUGUAUGGUUAUUUAAUUUGAUUAGGUUUCUGAUUAGCCUUGUUUAUUGUUAAUUAGGAGAGGGAAUUGAUCUGUCUCAGAAGGGAGACUAAAUUGAAGGGUGGAUUCUACGUCGAGCUAGAGGCUAAGCUCCUAUUUAUCAUCCGUUUCAGGAUGAUUUUGUGUUGGGAAAGAAAUUGGGAGAAGAGGCUCUUAUAGUUGUUUAUAGGGUUUCUUAGUGAUUGAUUGAUGGUAUCUUUUUUGAUGGAUUGUCCAUGAUGAAUGUAUAAUUUUAUCUAUUCUGAUUUUCAUUUGGCAUAAAGAUAUUGUACUGAUUGAUUGAUGGUGUUUGAUGCAUGCAACUGCAAGUGUUUGUUGUUUAGAAUACGUUUUUUGAGUUCAUCACUUGAAAAUAAGUGGUAGGUCAAAUACAAGUGACUGAUUUACUGUAUAAGAUGGCAAACAUUGAAAUGAUGAUUUUUUUUUAAAAAAAAAAAA